rnacentral:rRNA from 1 species
AAUCAACGCUGGCGGCGUGCCUCAGACAUGCAAGUCGAACGCGAAAUUUCCCCUCGGGGAGAAAGUAGAGUGGCGCACGGGUGAGUAACACGUAGGUAAUUUGCCUUUGGGUGGGGAAUAACUCAGGGAAACUUGAGCUAAUACCGCAUAAUGCAGCGGCUCGACAUCGAGACAGUUGUUAAAGCGGGGGAUCGCAAGACCUCGCGCCUAAAGAGAAGCCUGCGGCAGAUUAGCUAGUUGGUAAGGUAGUGGCUUACCAAGGCUACGAUCUGUAACCGGCCUGAGAGGGUGGUCGGUCACACUGACACUGACAUACGGGUCAGACUCCUACGGGAGGCAGCAGUCGGGAAUUUUGGGCAAUGGGCGAAAGCCUGACCCAGCAACGCCGCGUGAAGGAUGAAAUUUUCGGAAUGUAAACUUCGCAAGAACAGGAAGAAUAAGUAGGGGACGAAUACCCCCUAUAGAUGACGGUACUGUUUGUAAGCUCCGGCUAACUCCGUGCCAGCCGCCGCGGUAAC